UCCCCCUGCACCCGCUGUGGUCGUCAAGCAGGAGCCUGGGUGUGAGGUAGACGUGCGGCCUGCGGGCUUAAUUAUGGAAUCUCCGCCACCAAGGAGACGGAAGGUAACGGUCAAGAAAGAGGCAGAGGCAACCCGUGCGAUAGGAGGGAGGAAGCGAAAGACACAGGCCAAGGUCAAGGCGGAAGGGGCAGCUGAGACACUGACUGCU
rnacentral:SRP_RNA from 1 species